rnacentral:miRNA from 1 species
UUGCACGAUUUACAUACUCACA